GAAACACUGAGGUUAUUUGCAACUGCACUAAGCCAUUCAACUGAUUUUCUGACCUCAACUCUACACUGCCCAUACGCUGUUCCAUUAUCUAUUUCAUCACUUUAACUAGGAGGCACUGCAGUUGAGACAUGGCAAGAAUACCUGCUCCUGAGCUCCUGAAUUGCAAUGUACCAGCAAAUAAUCUUCUUCCCAACCCUCCACACAGGUGGCUAUGCCCAAAGCAGAGUGCAGGUUCACCAGAGACGUGUCCCUGGUUCUGAGGGAAGGCACUACCAACUGGCCAGCUGGUCAGCGCU
ensembl:lncRNA